rnacentral:rRNA from 1 species
GACGAACGCUGGCGGCGUGCUUAACACAUGCAAGUCGAGCGGUAAGGCCCUUUCGGGGGUACACGAGCGGCGAACGGGUGAGUAACACGUGGGUGACCUGCCUUUAGCUCUGGGAUAAGCCUGGGAAACCGGGUCUAAUACCGGAUAUGACUCCGCGGCGCAUGUUGUGGGGUGGAAAGCCUUGUGCGGCUGGAGAUGGGCCCGCGGCCUAUCAGCUUGUUGGUGGGGUGAUGGCCUACCAAGGCGACGACGGGUAGCCGGCCUGAGAGGGCGACCGGCCACACUGGGACUGAGACACGGCCCAGACUCCUACGGGAGGCAGCAGUGGGGAAUCUUGCGCAAUGGGCGAAAGCCUGACGCAGCGACGCCGCGUGAGUGAUGAAGGCCUUAGGG